UAAUACGAAGGGGGCAAGCGUUGUUCGGAAUUACUGGGCGUAAAGGGCGCGUAGGCGGCUUAUCAAGUCAGGCGUGAAAUUCCCGGGCUCAACCUGGGGGCUGCGCUUGAUACUGAUGAGCUUGAAUGCGGGAGAGGAUAGUGGAAUUCCCAGUGUAGAGGUGAAAUUCGUAGAUAUUGGGAAGAACACCGGUGGCGAAGGCGGCUAUCUGGCCCGUAAUUGACGCUGAGGCGCGAAAGCGUGGGGAGCAAACAGGAUUAGAUACCCUGGUAGUCCACGCCGUAAACGAUGGAUGCUAGCCGUUGGCAGGCUUGCCUGUCAGUGGCGCAGCUAACGCAUUAAGCAUCCCGCCUGGGGAGUACGGUCGCAAGAUUA
rnacentral:rRNA from 1 species